CAGGAUAGUGAUCAAAGAUUAGAAUGAAAUAGGAAAUAGAAACCCAGCUAAAGCUUCACCUCUGAAUUACAGACAGAAAUCUGUUAUGAAACUAUUUUCUUCAGCUUGGCAGAGCUUAUGAUUAUAAUUUUUCACACUUUCAACCUGAGCUAGAAAAUACUCCAGAGCUUAAAUGAAUGUAGGCGAUUAGAUCAGGUUCCUAAGCUUAAGGAUACUACUUUGCCAACAAAGGUCAGUCUAGUCAAGGCUUUGGUUUUUCCAGGGGUCAUGUAUGGAUGUGAGAGUUGGACUGUGAAGGUUGAGCACUGAAGAAUUGAUGCUUUUGAACUGUGGUGUUGGAGAAAACUCUUGAGAGUCCCUUGGACUGCAAGGAGAUCCAACCAGUCAAUCCUAAAGGAGAUCAGUCCUGGGUGUUCAUUGGAAGGACUGAUGCUGAAGCUGAAACUCCAAUACUUUGGCCACCUCAUAUGAAGAGUUGACUCAAUGGAAGAGACUCUGAUACUGGGAGGGAUUGGGGGCAGGAGGAGAAGGGGACGACAGAGGAUGAGAUGGCUGGAUGGCAUCACCCACUCGAUGGACAUGAGUUUGAGUGAACUCCGGCAGUUGGUGAUGGACAGAGAGGCCUGGUGUGCUGCGAUUCAUGGGGUCUCAAAGAGUCGGACACAACUGAGCGACUGAACUGAACUGAACUGAAGCUUAAGGAAAGAUGAACAUUUAAGGAAAAGUGAAAAUUGACUCUGAUAUUAGUGCAAUUAAGAAAACCAGUAUUUCUUCAGUCUUUAAGGACUUGGAUUCUUAGAUGGGCUUUGGUGGAGGACUUGGUGGAGGACGUGGAGCAGCACUCACAGGUCUAAAUUGGGGUGGAGGUGUCCUGUUUUCCCAGGCUUCUGGAGGGUGAUUACUGACUCCCUUGCUGUGAAUGGCACAACUCAGGGCACCAUUGUUCCUUCUUUCCUUGGUCAUCUUGGAAGUGCAGAGACAAGAACCCUUUGAUAUUUAUUGACAUAGCUUAAAUAAAAUUCUAAUGAAGCCCUUUUGACCUCUAGCUAACUUUGGGAUGCUUCAAAGAGCCCGUGUGUGUGUGUGUGUGUGUGUGUGUGUGUGUGUGUGUGUGUUAGUCGCUCAGUCAUGUCUGAUUCUUUCCCCAUGAACUGUAGCUAGCCAGGCUCCUCUACCCAUGGAAUUCUCCAGGCAAGAAUACUGGAGUGAGUUGCCAUUCCCUUCUCCAAAGGACCUUCCUGACUCAGAGAUUGAACCCAGGUCUCCCGCAUUGCAGCAGAUUCUUUACCAUUUGAGCCAACAGCAAAGCCCUCAAGGAGCCUGUAGGACAUCCCAAAGAGAGAGAUUAAACUAGUUGGGUUCAUGGGAAACGUUGUUAAACGCUCCUUGGAAGGAAAGCAAUGACAGACCUAGACAGUGUAUUAAAAAGCAGACACAUUACUCUACCAACAAAGGUGCUUAUAGUCAAAGCUAUGGUCUUUCCAGUAGUCAUAUACAUUUGUGAGAGUUAGACCAUAAAGAAAGCUGAGUGUCAAAGAACUGGUGCUUUCAAACUGUGGUGCUGGGGAAGACUCUUGAGAGUCCCUUGAACUGCAAGGAGAUCAACUCAGUCAAUUCUAAAGGAAAUCAGCCCUGAAUAUUGGAAAUCACUGGAAAGACUGAUGUUGAAGCUGAAACUCCAGUAUUUUGGCCAACUGAUGUGAAGAGCUGACUCAUUGGAAAAGACCCCAAUGCUUAAGACAGAAGGCAGAAUGAGAAGGGAGCCAAAGAGGAUGAGACAGUUGGGUAGUAUCACUGAUUCAAUGGACACGAAUUUGAGCAAUCUUGGGAAGAUGGUAAAGGACAGAGGAGUCUGGUGUGUUUCAGUUCAUGGAAUUGAGAAGAGUUGGACAUGAUCUUAGUGACUGAAUAGUAACAAAUUGUCAAAU
ensembl:lncRNA